rnacentral:rRNA from 1 species
GAUGAACGCUGGCGGCGUGCCUAAUACAUGCAAGUCGAGCGAACAGACGAGGAGCUUGCUCCUCUGACGUUAGCGGCGGGCGGGUGAGUAACACGUGGAUAACCUACCUAUAAGACUGGGAUAACUUCGGGAAACCGGAGCUAAUACCGGAUAAUAUAUUGAACAGCAUGGUUCAAUAGUGAAAGACGGUUUUGCUGUCACUUAUAGAUGGAUCCGCGCCGCAUUAGCUAGUUGGUAAGGUAACGGCUUACCAAGGCGACGAUGCGUAGCCGACCUGAGAGGGUGAUCGGCCACACUGGAACUGAGACACGGUCCAGACUCCUACGGGAGGCAGCAGUAGGGAAUCUUCCGCAAUGGGCGAAAGCCUGACGGAGCAACGCCGCGUGAGUGAUGAAGGUCUUCGGAUCGUAAAACUCUGUUAUUAGGGAAGAACAAAUGUGUAAGUAACUAUGCACGUCUUGACGGUACCUAAUCAGAAAGCCACGGCUAACUACGUG